rnacentral:rRNA from 1 species
CCUACGGGCGGCAGCAGUGAGGAAUAUUGGUCAAUGGACGAGAGUCUGAACCAGCCAAGUAGCGUGAAGGAUGACUACCCUAUGGGUUGUAAACUUCUUUUAUAUGGGAAUAAAACGUUCCACGUGUGGGAUUUUGUAUGUACCAUAUGAAUAAGGAUCGGCUAACUCCGUGCCAGCAGCCGCGGUAAUACGGAGGGUCCGAGCGUUAUCCGGAUUUAUUGGGUUUAAAGGGAGCGUAGGUGGAUUGUUAAGUCAGUUGUGAAAGUUUGCGGCUCAACCGUGGAAUUGCAGUGGAAACUGGCAGGCUUGAGUGCAGUAGAGGUAGGCGGAAUUCGUGGUGUAGCGGUGAAAUGCUUAGAUAUCACGAAGAACUCCGAUUGCGAAGGCAGCUCACUGGACUGCAACUGACACUGAGGCUCGAAAGUGUGGGUAUCAAACAGGAUUAGAUACCCCGGUAGUC